rnacentral:lncRNA from 10 species
GCAAAGGCUUAAGGGUGUAACCUCAGAAUGGGGCCCUGAAUCAGCUGUGGGCGAGCUCCUAGAGUAUCUUAAUUCCUGCUUCAUCUCUUUCCAUUUUGCAGUUGGGCAAACUGCGGCUCAGAAAGAUAAAGAACUUCUCCGGAGCGAAAAAGCUGCUAAGAAUGUAUCCAAAACUCCGCACGAAGUCUGGAACGUUUUUUCUUAGAGUUCCAGAAUUGAGACUGAAGUGUACCCAGAGACACAAAGAAAUACAGAAGUCCAGAAUGAUCAAAUGAGAUCACUACCCAAUGAAAUGAUGGGCCGAGGAGCCAGAAGUUGUCCUACUACCUGCUUUCCAGGUCCAGAUUCCACGAGAGCCUUCUGGGCUCCCACCAGAGACCCUCAGUGAAGACUCUGUUGAAGACUUUAAGACCAUGCUAGAAAGCCUCCCGGCAGAGGUUCAGGAAGUUCUGCUAUGAGGAUGCAGCUGGCCCCAGGGAUGUCCUCAGGCAUCUCUAGGACCUUGCUGGACGGUGGUGGCUGAGACCUGAUAUCCACACAAAGGAGCAGACUGUGGAAAUGCUGGUGCAGGAGCAAUUCCAGGCUGUCCUGCCCGAGGAGCUCAGAGCUCAAGCACAGAGAUGUCAGCCUGGAAUCAGAAUCACUGGCUAAGUCUUGCUGCUUGCUUCUUGCUCAGCCUGCAUAUGAGAAGUCAACCAAGCAUUCUCUUGGAUGCAAGAUCCAACUGCACCCAUGGGAAAUCUGAACUUCCACUUUCUUUGAGCUUGUCUUUGGUUGUAAUAAGAAUCCAUCAAAACCCAUGUCUGGAUCUCUCUUUGGCUGAGGCAGCUUUAUUUCCUACAGAAAGAGUUUCUCUGUCCUCUUGUUAGGACAAUCAGCCUGCUGCUUUGGGCUUUUCCAAGAGCCUAUUUUUCAUCUGCUGGAUGCCUCUUUUUUUUUUUUUUUUUUUUUUUGCACUGUGUGACAUGCUUUAAUAUAUAUAUUUUUUAUGUAUCCAAAGAGGUAAUCAACUUUAACUUUCAGAAUUCAUGAAUCUUGGUUUGGUGGCAUGAAUGAAAGGUUAUGUAACCCCACCAGUAACUCAUUUGGGGUGCCCUUGAAAUAUUAAAGUUUGGUCCUCAAUAAAU